rnacentral:misc_RNA from 1 species
GAAAGUUUUCCAAUACUUAUGAUUUCUAAUACGUAUUCGCGCAGACCUUGUUUAUAUUCAUUUGAAAUUUGUUUGACUAAUGAAACCAUUGGUUGCUGCUUGAGUUCUUGAUAACAGUAUCGAUAAGGACCAGUAUCCAACUCCCAAUCUUCUAUUGUAUCAAUGUUCUUAAUUUUUCUAAUCACAUGGAAGAUAGCAAAGGAUAUUGUGAUAAUUGCAAGAAAAUUUGAUGAAAUUGCGAACCUCAUUGUUAACUCAUAUGCUUCCUUUUUUGAUCAUCCAGAAGCGAAGGCAGAGAAGAAAGAUUCAAAGCUCGAGCUUGCCCAUUCAUCUUAAAG